UACGAAGGGGGCUAGCGUUGUUCGGAUUUACUGGGCGUAAAGCGCACGUAGGCGGCUUUGUAAGUUAGAGGUGAAAGCCCAGGGCUUAACCCUGGAAUUGCCUUUAAGACUGCAUCGCUAGAAUUGUGGAGAGGUAAGUGGAAUUCCGAGUGUAGAGGUGAAAUUCGUAGAUAUUCGGAAGAACACCAGUGGCGAAGGCGACUUACUGGACACAUAUUGACGCUGAGGUGCGAAAGCGUGGGGAGCAAACAGG
rnacentral:rRNA from 1 species